rnacentral:rRNA from 1 species
UACGGGGGGAGCAAGCGUUGUUCGGAUUUACUGGGCGUAAAGGGCGCGUAGGCGGUCGUGACAAGUCACUUGUGAAAUCUCCGGGCUUAACUCGGAACGGUCAAGUGAUACUGUCGGACUAGAGUACAGAAGGGGCAACUGGAAUUCUCGGGUGUAGCGGUGAAAUGCGUAGAUAUCGAGAGGAACACCUGCGGCGAAGGCGGGUUGCUGGGCUGAUACUGACGCUGGAGGCGCGAAAGCUAGGGGAGCGAACGGG